GACGAACGCUGGCGGCGUGCUUAACACAUGCAAGUCGAACGGAAAGGCCCUGCUUUUGUGGGGUGCUCGAGUGGCGAGCGGGUGAGUAACACGUGUGUAACCCGCUCUUGACUUUGGGAUGACUUCAGGACACUGGGUCUAAUACCGGAUCGGAGCUCCUGCUGCAUGGUGGGGGUUAGAAAGUUUCGUCGGGUGGGGAUGGACUCGCGGCUUAUCUGCUUGUUGGUGGGGUAGUGGCUUACCCAGGCUUGGGCGGGUAGCCGGCCUGGGAGGGUGACCGGCCACAUUGGGACUGAGAGACGGCCCAGACUCCUACGGGGGGAAGAAGUGGGGAAUAUUGAACAAGGGGGGGAGGCCGGAUGAAGCAAGCCGGCGGGCGGGAUAACGGCCUUCGGGUGGUAAACCGCUUUAGCGUGUAACGAAGUGUGAGUGACGGUAAUGGGUAAAGAAGCACCGGCUAACUACGUG
rnacentral:rRNA from 1 species